rnacentral:lncRNA from 1 species
GCCAGUUCGGGCAGGGUGUUUUAAGAAAGCCAGUGACUGGCUAGCCAGGGCUUGGCAUGAGGGGAUGCUUCUCAAGGAGCUAGUUUUCACUUGUACCAUAAUAUAUAGAAGGGUUUGUUCAUUUAUUCCCUUACUCACCCUUUCGGAGGAGUUGCAAGCUUAAAUUCCAGCAGGGAAUGGAUGUAAUAUAUGAAGCGUGGUGAAUGACGAGAGUCCUCUGUGCUUCUGCCAUUUGCUGUGAGAAAAACAUGCCUCAAGUGGCCACUGCUCUCUGGAGAAUGGGGAGACGCUUGGAACAGAUCUGAGCCCACCCUGGAGCCUGGAGCCCAGCUCAUGGAGUCCCAGAUGAGCUCAGCAGAACCACAGACUCUGUCAAUGGCUGGUCUGUAAGGUCCAGGAGGGUAGACACCUUGUCUUCUUGCUUCAUCACUGCGCAUCCAGCAUCUGGCACAAUACCUGGCACAUUGGACAUGGACUGUGAACAGUAUCUUCAAACUGACCUCUUGGAAAAAUCCCACAGCUUCCAAGUCACAACAUCUUCCAAGUGUCAGACCAAGCCCUGGACGACUAUGCGAGUAAUAUCUUCCUUUUGAAAGCUUUCCAUUCUUUACAUCGUUUUCUUAGUCCUUGGCAAGACUGCUUAGGGGGCCGUAUUCAUUUCUAAUCCACGGAGAAGAAAGCCUGGCUCUCCCUGAGACUCCAACCCCGCAAAGCAGCCUGGGGGUCCUCAGCUUGGAUGAAAACUCUGGCAACAAUAGUGGGACACUGAAAGAAAGUGUUAUCACCAAUGUGGUGGUACAAUGAGCGGCAUGUGUGAAAAAAGAAAUGGACAUCUUUAAUGGCUCUUGACAAUCCAAAGGGAAGAGCUUGAGAGGAGCACAGCAUGGAGUUUACGCCACAACCGUGUGUAUGACAUAGAAUGGAGAAGGAGCAGCAAAUGCUGCAUACAUCCACCAGAGAUGAGAGUCAUCAUGGCUGGAGGGAAGUGGAGACGGUGAUGGGCAUGGAAGAGACACUGAGGAGAGGACCACACCUGGCAGAAACCAUGUAGAACAGGGUUGAAUUAACAUGAAGAUACAGCCAACCACUUUCUGAAAGCAGGGCCAGGAUUGGUAUAUAAAAUUCUGGAAGGAGUUACAGUGUUU